rnacentral:rRNA from 1 species
GUGGCAGUGGCGGCUGCUACCAUGCAGUCGACGGAAGGCCCUUCGGGGUACUCGAGUGGCGAACGGGUGAGUAACACGUGGGUGAUCUGCCCUGCACUUUGGGAUAAGCCUGGGAAACUGGGUCUAAUACCGAAUAUGACCGCGCACUUCCUGGUGUGUGGUGGAAAGCUUUUGCGGUGUGGGAUGGGCCCGCGGCCUAUCAGCUUGUUGGUGGGGUAAUGGCCUACCAAGGCGACGACGGGUAGCCGGCCUGAGAGGGUGACCGGCCACACUGGGACUGAGAUACGGCCCAGACUCCUACGGGAGGCAGCAGUGGGGAAUAUUGCACAAUGGGCGCAAGCCUGAUGCAGCGACGCCGCGUGAGGGAUGACGGCCUUCGGGUUGUAAACCUCUUUCAAUAGGGACGAAGCGCAAGUGACGGUACCUAUAGAAGAAGGACCGGCCAACUACGUGCCAGCAGCCGCGGUAAUACGUAGGGUCCGAGCGUUGUCCGGAAUUACUGGGCGUAAAGAGCUCGUAGGUGGUUUGUCGCGUUGUUCGUGAAAACUCACAGCUUAACUGUGGGCGUGCGGGCGAUACGGGCAGACUAGAGUACUGCAGGGGAGACUGGAAUUCCUGGUGUAGCGGUGGAAUGCGCAGAUAUCAGGAGGAACACCGGUGGCGAAGGCGGGUCUCUGGGCAGUAACUGACGCUGAGGAGCGAAAGCGUGGGGAGCGAACAGGAUUAGAUACCCUGGUAGUCCACGCCGUAAACGGUGGGUACUAGGUGUGGGUUUCCUUCCUUGGGAUCCGUGCCGUAGCUAACGCAUUAAGUACCCCGCCUGGGGAGUACGGCCGCAAGGCUAAAACUCAAAGAAAUUGACGGGGGCCCGCACAAGCGGCGGAGCAUGUGGAUUAAUUCGAUGCAACGCGAAGAACCUUACCUGGGUUUGACAUGCACAGGACGCCAGUAGAGAUAUUGGUUCCCUUGUGGCCUGUGUGCAGGUGGUGCAUGGCUGUCGUCAGCUCGUGUCGUGAGAUGUUGGGGUUAAGUCCCGCAACGAGCGCAACCCUUAUUCUUAUGUUGCCCACCGCGUAAUGGCGGGGGAAUCCUGGAAAGACUG